CAGCCGCCACGGUAAUACGAGGGGUGCAAGCGUUACUCGGAAUUACUGGGCGUAAAGCGCACGCAGGCGGUCUGACAAGUCAGAUGUGGAAUCCCCGGGCUUAACCUGGGAACUGCAUUUGAAACUGUCAGGCUGGAGUCUUGUAGAGGGGGGUGGAAUUCCAGGUGUAGCGGUGAAAUGCGUAGAGAUCUGGAGGAAUACCGGUGGCGAAGGCGGCCCCCUGGACAAAGACUGACGCUCAGGUGCGAAAGCGUGGGGAGCAAACAGGAUUAGAUACCCCUGUAGUCCCUGUCUCUUAUAC
rnacentral:rRNA from 1 species